rnacentral:misc_RNA from 1 species
CUGCCGCCAUUAAUGGCAUUUAAAGCCGCCGGCCAGCCCUUCCUCUCUCCCAUGGCGUCCUCCCUCUCUCUUCUCUCUCUAUUUAAGCCGAUGUUGAGCUCUAUGUGCCGGUUCCCAGCCGUCCGAAGCCACUCCGAGCCUCCCUCUCCUCUCGUUGCCGUGAAAACCGUUGUCGCCGCCCUCUUCUCGCCACCACCGGAGCCGAAGCUCGCCGCCGGAGUCCUUGCUCCUUCUCCCAUCGUUGGCAAGGACCGCCAGAGCCUGACGUCGCGCCUCGACGACCAGAGUCGUGGCCGCGCCCUUGCUUCCCUGAUCGCCGGUCGUGUACCUCCUGCUCGCCGUCUCCUCUGCACAAGGAAUCAGCUAGGAAUUAGAAGAUGAACAUGUUUUAUUUUUAGCCUCUAUUUCUGUGUAAAAUUUUAUUGGUCCCGUUCG